GACGAACGCUGGCGGCGUGCUUAACACAUGCAAGUCGAACGGAAAGGCCCUGCUUUUGUGGGGUGCUCGAGUGGCGAAAGGGUGAGUAACACGUGAGUAACCUGCCCUUGACUUUGGGAUAACUUCAGGAAACUGGGGCUAAUACCGGAUCGGAGCUCCUGCUGCAUGGUGGGGGUUGGAAAGUUUCGGCGGUUGGGGAUGGACUCGCGGCUUAUCAGCUUGUUGGUGGGGUAGUGGCUUACCAAGGCUUUGACGGGUAGCCGGCCUGAGAGGGUGACCGGCCACAUUGGGACUGAGAUACGGCCCAGACUCCUACGGGAGGCAGCAGUGGGGAAUAUUGCACAAUGGGCGGAAGCCUGAUGCAGCAACGCCGCGUGCGGGAUGACGGCCUUCGGGUUGUAAACCGCUUUCGCCUGUGACGAAGCGUGAGUGACGGUAAUGGGUAAAGAAGCACCGGCUAACUACGUG
rnacentral:rRNA from 1 species